GGAGAGGUGACCGAGUGGCCGAAGGUAGGCGCUUGCUAAGCGUCCGUAGGUUGAUCCCUACCGCGGGUUCGAAUCCCGCCCUCUCCGCCA
rnacentral:tRNA from 1 species